AACUUCGGGAUAAGGAUUGGCUCUAAGCAUUGGGUGUACGAGUCUGUAGGAAGAAGCCGGAAGCCUGGCGCUUCUAGGGCUGGCUAGCCUUCGGGCAGGCCGGCCUCGGAGGCGUCGGGAGGCCGGUGGGCGUCUGCAGAUGGGAAGGGCGUUAAAACCUGGAACAUUUCGUGCACAACUAACAAUGAACUUAGAACUGAUACGGACAAGGGGAAUCCGACUGUUUAAUUAAAACAAAGCAUUGUGAUGGCCUUAGCAGGUGUUGAUACAAUGUGAAUUCUGCCCAGUGCUCUGAAUGUC
rnacentral:rRNA from 1 species